GGUUAAGCGACUAAGCGUACACGGUGGAUGCCCUGGCAGUCAGAGGCGAUGAAGGACGUGCUAAUCUGCGAAAAGCGUCGGUAAGGUGAUAUGAACCGUUAUAGCCGGCGAUGUCCGAAUGGGGAAACCCAGUGUGAUUCGUCACACUAUCGUUAACUGAAUACAUAGGUUAACGAGGCGAACCGGGGGAACUGAAACAUCUAAGUACCCCGAGGAAAAGAAAUCAACCGAGAUUCCCCCAGUAGCGGCGAGCGAACGGGGAGCAGCCCAGAGUUUGAAUCAGCUUGUGUGUUAGUGGAACGGUCUGGAAAGUCCGACGGUACAGGGUGAUAGUCCCGUACACCAAAAUGCACAGGCUGUGAACUCGAAGAGUAGGGCGGGACACGUGGUAUCCUGUCUGAAUAUGGGGGGA
rnacentral:rRNA from 1 species